GGGGAGUUGGUGAAGUGGUAUCACGGCGGUCUCCAAAACCGCAGUCGGCGGUUCAAUUCCGCCACACCCUGCCA
rnacentral:tRNA from 1 species